GCGCGGAGGGCCGGAGACGCUGCAGACCCGCGACCCGGAGCAGCUCGGAGGCGGUGAAGUCGGUGGCUUUCCUUCUCUCUAGCUCUCGCUCGCUGGUGGUGCUUCAGAUGCCACACGCGUCCCGGGGGCCCGGUUCUCCGCUCCCCUCCCCUCCCCUUCUCGCCGGACCCCGCGCCGGGAGCUGCGGGAAGGAGUGGAGGGUCGGGCGGUGGCCUCGCGGCUGGCCUGGCGCGCGGCCAGCGCCGGUAGUUAGUGGGGGGACUGCUCUGCCCUCGAGGGGGUAGGGAGCUGUGGCGACGGUUGCCCCAUUUCGAGACAAAGCGCAUUUCCCCCUCCCCUCCCCCACCCGCGUUCCGGCGGAGGCGCCCCCUCCCCCAGCCGCCACGCGGGGCUGGGUCGAGACUUGGGCCUCCCGGAGGGCGGCGCGUGGUCCCGCGUCCGCGAGGCCUGGCGGCGCGCGGCCGGCUGUCCCGAGGCUGCGGCGACCGCCCAGUUAACGUGGCCGCCGCGGGGGUAGGCGCGUGCGGUGUGGCGCAGUGCCCUUGAGCCCCCGUGCCGCGGCCUUUGUUUCUCCCCGCGGAUGCGCUGACCACGAGGCCCGCGCUCCCGGGUGGGGGCGGGCACCCGCGCUUAGGCCUCUGGACGCCGGGCUUCAGCGGCGGGGGUCGGGAGCGGGUGUUUGCAAGAGGUGAUUCUUUUUUCAAAGUGUCACGAAACGGGGUUGAAGCAUCUUAAGUUUUUUCCUUUUGUUAUUUAAUUACCGAUUGGAAAGAGGGAGGGUUUCUGAGCAGAAACCAAGUUGGGAUUGCAGAACAGAGAAGAUUCACAGUGCUUUACCGUUGUGAGUUGUUUGGGUAAUCGUGCCUGGUUUUAAACCGAAAGGAUUGUCCUUUAAAAAUGGAACAUGGACUUUAUUAUAAAUGGGACUUAGAUUGGAAAAGACAUUGGUCCCCUAUUUUAAGCCAUGUGAAGCUGUUUUAGGUACCAGGAUCCCCAGUAAAGUCUUUCUAGACUCACAUGGUUAGGACACGUACUUAAGUACAUCAUAAGCAAUGUAGGUAGGAGCGCAGAUCUACUCUGGAUUUGUAUUCACGUUUGAAAUGUGCGCUCUCUACUUGGGGGUUGGAAUCCAAACAGAAUUUGUAUUUAGUUACCUUUUUUGUGUCAUGCAAACUUACCUUAACUGUCAUGCAUUUUUCUAGUAAUAGCUCUUCAAGUCUGCAAUAAAAAAUGGCCUCCAACAAAACUACAUUGCAAAAAAUGG
rnacentral:lncRNA from 1 species